rnacentral:rRNA from 1 species
GAUGAACGCUGGCGGCGUGCCUAAUACAUGCAAGUCGAGCGAACAGACGAGGAGCUUGCUCCUCUGACGUUAGCGGCGGACGGGUGAGUAACACGUGGAUAACCUACCUAAAAGACUGGGAUAACUUCGGGAAACCGGAGCUAAUACCGGAUAAUAUAUUGAACCGCAUGGUUCAAUAGUGAAAGACGGUUUUGCUGUCACUUAUAGAUGGAUCCGCGCCGCAUUAGCUAGUUGGUAAGGUAACGGCUUACCAAGGCAACGAUGCGUAGCCGACCUGAGAGGGUGAUCGGCCCACCUGGAACUGGGACCCGGUCCAGACUCCUACGGGGGGCAGCAGUAGGGAAUUUUCCGAAAUGGGCGAAAGCCUGACGGAGCAACGCCGGGUGAGUGAUGAAGGUUUUCGGAUCGUAAAACUCUUUUAUUAGGGAAAAAAAAAUGUGAAAGUAACUAUGCCCGUCUUGACGGUACCUAAUAAAAAAGCCCCGGCUAACUACGU